rnacentral:ncRNA from 1 species
AAUCCGGUGGAAAGCCGGAGCGGUCGCGCCACUGUAACCGGAGAUGUCGAAAUCUCCGGAAGCCAGAAAA